rnacentral:rRNA from 1 species
AACGAACGCUGGCGGCAUGCCUAACACAUGCAAGUCGAACGAGACCUUCGGGUCUAGUGGCGCACGGGUGCGUAACGCGUGGGAACCUGCCCUUAGGUUCGGAAUAACUCCCCGAAAGGGGUGCUAAUACCGGAUAAUGUCUUCGGACCAAAGAUUUAUCGCCUUUGGAUGGGCCCGCGUUGGAUUAGCUAGUUGGUAGGGUAAAAGCCUACCAAGGCGACGAUCCAUAGCUGGUCUGAGAGGAUGAGCAGCCACACUGGGACUGGGACACGGCCCAGACUCCUACGGGAGGCAGCAGUGGGGAAUAUUGGACAAUGGGCGAAAGCCUGAUCCAGCAAUGCCGCUUGAGUGAUGAAGGCCUUAGGGUUGUAAAGCUCUUUUACCCGGGAUGAUAAUGACAGUACCGGGAGAAUAAGCUCCGGCUAACUCCGUG